AGAAUCAACGCUGGCGGCGUGCCUAACACAUGCAAGUCGAACGAGAAAGGGACUUCGGUCCUGAGUAUAGUGGCGCACGGGUGAGUAACACGUGAAUAAUCUACCUCCGAGUGGGGAAUAACCUGGAGAAAUCUAGGCUAAUACCGCAUAACACUUACGAGUCAAAGCAGCAAUGCGCUUGGAGAGGAGUUCGCGGCAGAUUAGUUAGUUGGCGGGGUAAUGGCCCACCAAGACGAUGAUCUGUAUCCGGCCUGAGAGGGCGCACGGACACACUGGAACUGAAACACGGUCCAGACUCCUACGGGAGGCAGCAGUGGGGAAUUUUGCGCAAUGGGGGAAACCCUGACGCAGCAACGCCGCGUGGAGGAUGAAGUAUCUUGGUACGUAAACUCCUUUCGAUGGGGAAGAUAAUGACGGUACCCAUAGAAGAAGCCCCGGCUAACUUCGCGCCAGCAGCCGC
rnacentral:rRNA from 1 species